UUUAUUUCUGGUUUUCUUGGUGGCAAGCUUUGAUUGUCCAAACGCAAUUCUUGUGUCUGUCAGAGUCUCCUGCAAGAACUGAGUCUGGACAUCACAAGUUGUCAUCAGCGAGCGACAAUCACGGGU
rnacentral:pre_miRNA from 14 species